CGAACGCUGGCGGCAUGCCUAACACAUGCAAGUCGAACGAAGCCUUCGGGCUUAGUGGCGCACGGGUGCGUAACGCGUGGGAAUCUACCCUGGGGUUCGGAAUAACACAGAGAAAUUUGUGCUAAUACCGGAUGAUAUCGAGAGAUCAAAGAUUUAUCGCCCUUGGAUGAGCCCGCGUAGGAUUAGCUUGUUGGUGGGGUAAUGGCCUACCAAGGCGACGAUCCUUAGCUGGUCUGAGAGGAUGAUCAGCCACACUGGGACUGAGACACGGCCCAGACUCCUACGGGAGGCAGCAGUGGGGAAUAUUGGACAGUGGGGGAAACCCUGAUCCAGCGACGCCGCGUGUGUGAAGAGGGCCUGCGGGUUGUAAAGCACUUUUAGUGGGGAGGAAAACACUCGACCUAACACGUCGAGAAUUGACUUAACCCAAGAAAAAGCACCGGCUAACUCUGCGCCAGCAGCCGCGGUAAUCUGAU
rnacentral:rRNA from 1 species